GAUUAAGUUAUUAAGGGCGCACGGUGGAUGCCUUGGCACUAGAAGCCGAUGAAGGACGUUACUAACGACGAUAUGCUUUGGGGAGCUGUAAGUAAGCUUUGAUCCAGAGAUUUCCGAAUGGGGAAACCCAGCAUGAGUUAUGUCAUGUUAUCGAUAUGUGAAUACAUAGCAUAUCAGAAGGCACACCCGGAGAACUGAAACAUCUUAGUACCCGGAGGAAGAGAAAGAAAAUUCGAUUCCCUUAGUAGCGGCGAGCGAAACGGGAAGAGCCCAAACCAACAAGCUUGCUUGUUGGGGUUGUAGGACACUCUAUACGGAGUUACAAAGGACGACAUUAGACGAAUCAUCUGGAAAGAUGAAUCAAAGAAGGUAAUAAUCCUGUAGUCGAAAAUGUUGUCUCUCUUGAGUGGAUCCUGAGUACGACGGAGCACGUGAAAUUCCGUCGGAAUCUGGGAGGACCAUCUCCUAAGGCUAAAUACUCUCUAGUGACCGAUAGUGAACCAGUACCGUGAGGGAAAGGUGAAAAGCACCCCGGAAGGGGAGUGAAAUAGAACCUGAAACCGUGUGCUUACAAGUAGUCAGAGCCCGUUAAUGGGUGAUGGCGUGCCUUUUGUAGAAUGAACCGGCGA
rnacentral:rRNA from 1 species